UCACUAUGAUGAUAAAACUUGUUUGCCUUAGAAGCAUUCGUUUCGAUGAAGGCAACAACCCUCUAAGAAGUUCUGAGUGA